CAAAAACAUAACUGCAUGAACACCCAUGCAGCAUUUUCUGCUCAAUGAAUAUUAAAUGGCCGCAGUACUCUGACUGUGCAAAGGUAGCAUAAUCAGUUGGCUUAUAAUUAAAGUCUGGAAUCAACGAAUGCACGGAGGGUUGCUAUAUCCUAAUAAAGUACUAAAAUUAUUUAGUAAGUGAAAAUGCUUACAUUGAAAUAAAAGACGAGAAGACCCUAGAAAUUUAGAUUGAAUUUUGUUGGGGCGACAUAGUAGCAUUAAAACCUACAGUAAGUACAGGAAUUUUAUUAAGUGAAAGAUUAAUUACUCUAGGGAUAACAGCAUAAUUUAGAAAAGUUUGUGACCUCGAUGUUGGACUAGGAAAUUUAAGUUUAGACGACAUAGAAUAUUGCUCUGUUCGAGCAUAACCUCCUACGUGAUCUGAGUUC
rnacentral:rRNA from 1 species